rnacentral:rRNA from 1 species
AUUGAACGCUGGCGGCAAGCCUAACACAUGCAAGUCGAACGAGUGGCGGACGUGUGAGUACUGUCUGGGAAACUGCCUGAUGGAGGGGGAUAACUACUGGUAACGGUAGCUAAUACCGCAUUCCAUCGGCGGUUCCCAGAUGGGAGUGGUUAGUUGGUGGGGUAAAGGCUCACCUAGGCGACUAUCCCUAGCUGGUCUGAGAGGAGGACCAGCCACACGGGAACUGAGACACGGUCCAGACUCCUACGGGAGGUAGCAGGGGGGAAUAUUGCACAAUGGGCGAAAGCCUGAUGCAGCCAUGCCGCGUGUAUGAAGAAGGCCUUCGGGUUGUAAAGUACUUUCAGCGGGGAGGCGUUACCCGCAGAAGAAGCACCGGCUAACUCCGUGCCAGCAGCCGCGGUAAUUC